AACGCCGAAGCUGAUUCCGGUUCAGGCGGCAGGAUUUGCGC
rnacentral:sRNA from 1 species